rnacentral:rRNA from 1 species
UACGACUACAUAUCAGGCAUAUCAAUAAGCGGAGGAAAAGAAACUAACAAGGAUUCCCUUAGUAACGGCGAGUGAAGCGGGAAGAGCUCAAAUUUGAAAUCUUCAAGGUUUUACCUUGACGAAUUGUAGUUUAAAGAAGUGUUUUCUGUUGGUGUUUUGGUAAAAGUUCUUUGGAAUAGGACAUCAUAGAGGGUGAGAAUCCCGUAUUUGACCAUUACUUCCAGCGUUGUGAUACACUUUCAAAGAGUCGGAUUGUUUGGGAAUGCAGUCCAAAAUGGGUGGUAAAUUUCAUCUAAAGCUAAAUAUUGGCGAGAGACCGAUAGCGAACAAGUACCGUGAGGGAAAGAUGAAAAGAACUUUGAAAAGAGAGUUAAACAGUACGUGAAAUUGUCAAAAGGGAAGCGUUUGACACCAGUGUUGUUUUCUCGAAAAUCAAUUAAAAAGUAUGGGAUUUUGUAUUGUUAAGACCUUAUCAGCUUACGGUACUUUUUUCUUGCUCUUUUUAAUGCACUUUUCGUUUAACAAGUCAACAUCAAUUUCUUUUGUUGUAAAAGAGUCAUUGGAAGGUGGCUUUCACUUCGGUGAAAGUGUUUAUAGCCUUUGGCUUCUGCAAUCGGAGAGAUUGAGGUCUGCAGCGUAGAUCCUUCGGGGUUAGAUACGUAGAUGCUAAGUUAUAGUUUUUCAUAGACAACUUGUUGACUAUGAUUAAUCAUGUAGCUUACUCGUUUGCGCUAUUUUACCUACGCUUAGGAUGUUGAAUCUGUGCGAGACUA